rnacentral:tRNA from 4 species
GGGUUCUUAGCUCAGCUGGUAGAGCAGCGGACUCUUAAUCCGUAGGUCGAGUGUUCGAAUCACUCAGGACCCACCA